GUCAAGCUACAAAGGGCUCAACGGCGGAAUACCCUUGGGCAACACAAAGGCGAAUGAAAAGGACGUGGUUACCUGGCGAUAAGUUCUCGGGGGAGCUGGGAAGACACCGCUUUGUAUCCGGGAAUUU
rnacentral:rRNA from 1 species